UAACAGCGUGCGAGAGCCGGGCGCGUAUUUUGAACUAUGCCUACGCGCCUCGCGAAUAAUAAAAUAUGUUCGUGCAGCACGUCUCACUCCGCAGUCCGCGCUCAGGGUAUGGGUCAAGUUAAUAU